rnacentral:lncRNA from 1 species
GGUGAGGCAGGAAUAGGUGUGGCAGUCUCUGUGUCAGAGCGACAGGAGCCCUCCUCCCAGACAGAGCUGCCAGCUGAGGGCUGGGCAGGGCCUGGUCCGGUCACAUUCCAGGCCCAAGGGACUUUACUGGUGGAGCUAAAGUGAAAGUGAAGUGAGCCGUGGGGCACAUGCUGCUCAGGCUGAGGUGGGGCCAGCCGCCAGCUCCCCACAGCAGGGCUGGGUUGGCUGAGGGCAAAGGGCUCCCCAUGGCUCUGGCUUGGGCAGGGACUGCAGCCCGAGGGGGGGGCAGCCUGGGGGCAAGGAAGCAGGAGCUUCCCUGGACACCAGAGACCGUCCUGCAGAGCACUUGAUGGGGUGGGAGGUUGCCAGGUGGGUGUAUCCCAGCAAAGCCCCUCGGUGCCAGAGGGGAGGGGGCAGUGGCUGGGCAACCGGAGAACUUCAAUCCAGGGCAACAACUGCCACAUCUCCUUGACAGUGACUAGAAAGAGCCGCUGGGCUCAUGCCCCCGACGACCCUCCAGCACACAGGCCUGGCCCUGUGGGAGGGGCUGUCACGGGAACCGGACGGGUGCCCUACAGCAGCACUAGGCAGCCCAGAGCUGUGGGAUCAAGGCACCAAGGCAGCUGUCACUGCGCCUCUGGGAGAGCAGGAGGGGUUCACCCCUCACUGACCAGGGGCAGCACCCAGAGGCAGUGCCAGCCCCAGCUCCGCACCCCCCCACAGCGUGGGCCAUUGCUCGAGUCGGGAGAGCCUGGUGGCUCUGCGCAGUCUGAGGUAUCCAGCCUUGUUUCUCCCCCUCCUGCACUGGUACGGGCUGAGUUUGGUUUAAUCAUUGCCGAGAAAGCUGGCAGGCAGAACUGUGCCCAGCACUUCCUGCUCCAAGGUGCAGCCUCCCAGGCAAAGUUUAAACCGAGCGAAGGGCAGCGCGUGCGACGUCACAGUGCCGACUGGCCCUCACACAACAGCCGGGAUAGGGCUAGCCAGCCAAACGCUGCACCACCACCGCAGAGGGCAGAGUUGAGUCCGUGUGGCCCGUUCAGUUCUUGGCCUCUGCUGAGGAUGCCAGUUCUGGGGCAAUCAGCGUCACCUUUUUAUGGUGUUGGCAGCAGCCCCUAGGCGCUGGCCCAACCCCAGAGCAAACCCUUUCCCACAGGCCCGGAACAGCUGAGUGAUGAGAACAGCUGGUAGUCACAUGGCCAGGUUGGAACCGGUGCCCUAGAGGGGAAAGGCCCCAUAUCUCAUUUCCUAACCCUCAGCAGCCAGACAAUGCCCCUGCCCCAGGGAUGGAGCUCAGCCAGUGCCCUGGAAGGGGAAAGCCUCGCGUCCCAUUCUCUAGCCCAGUGGUCAUCAGCCCAUCAAUCACCAUCAACUGGUCGAUCCUG